AUUGAACGCUGGCGGCAGGCCUAACACAUGCAAGUCGUGCGAGCGGCGGACGGGUGAGUAAUGUCUGGGAAUCUAGCUUAUGGAGGGGGAUAACUACUGGAAACUGUAGCUAAUACCGCGUACCAUAGGAUGAGCCCAAAUGGGAUUAGGUAGUUGGUGAGGUAAAGGCUCACCAAGCCGACGAUCUCUAGCUGGUCUGAGAGGAUGACCAGCCACACUGGAGCUGAGACACGGCCCAGACUCCUACGGGAGGCAGCAGUGGGGAAUAGUGCGCAAUGGGGGCAACCUGACGCAGCCAUGCCGCGUGAAUGAAGAAGGCCUUCGGGUUGUAAAGUACUUUCGGUAGCGAGGCGUUAACUACAGAAGAAGCACCGGCUAACUCCGUGCCAGCAGCCGCGGUAAUAC
rnacentral:rRNA from 1 species